AUCGACUACGCAGCCAAACGGUGGAGUUUCCUAUUUCGGUGAAGCAUACUGCAGGAAGUUGCACCGCAGGACGAACCGCGCGCGCCAAGCUCAGCCGACGAGACAACGACGCGGCAAACGCUAACGGUUGAGUGCAUUCGACAAAAAAGGAUUUUCCAAACAAACAAGUGAUGGUGAAGCUGGUGAUGGGGGAUGGUGAGUGGUGUUAGUACACUAAGGCCACAGGAAGAAAAUUAGUGUGAAGAGGUUCGGCUAAGUAAAACCCAUUGUAAGGGCCCAUUGCCAUUGUUACUUGCUGGUGAAGAAAGUGUUUGUAGCAGCAAAAGGCUAAGCUCGUGUUUUAGUGCUUGCUGAGUGAUUUUCCUGGUGUAAUAAAGAAAGAAAUAAAUCGACCCAUCGAAUUGGGCUAAAAAUAGUGUUCUUUAGUGAAAGUGAGUGUAAAAUUAGAGAUAAAAAAGGAAAAGUUACAUCAAAAGUUAAAAUAGUAAAUAAGAAAGCGAGUUUAAUAGUGAUUUCGUGUCCAAUAUUCAACCCUAAAAAAAGUUGUCGUGUCAUUAAAAGAAAAUCUAUCUCUAAAUGAAACGUACCCACAGUUUCCCACCCUGCCGCUUUCCCAAAAGGCUCUAAAGCAGAAAUAACAGUUCCGCUCUCCGGUUCCCCGGUGCUGGAGGUGAUUUACGAAACAACCUAACCGAAACCAACGCGUCGGAGCUUCUUGUGCGGUUUGGAUUCGUGUUCUCGUACCGUACCGACCUGCGUGUGUGUGUGUGUGUGUGUUUACCGGGUGACCACAAUCGCAUUCGAUUUCACACCCUCCCCGAGGGAGCCAAUGAGGGGUUGAAGGAAGAAAAAAAGCCUAAAAGAUUGAAACCGACUCUCUUGGGGUUGAAAUUCCUUGCCCGGAUUCCGAAGCAAAAGGGUGAACGGUGUGGUCUACCUUCAUCUGCCACACUGCUUUCCGCUGCUGCCAACCGGAGCCCCAGUGCCGAGCCGCCAUCGAAACGUGUACGGAACAGAAACAGUACAGUUGAAAGGAUUUAUUUUGAAAUUGAAAAACGGACACAAUCCCCCGAUUAGAUCAUUAAUGGAGCGUUGAGCAUCGAUCCGCUCGGUCGCGGUUGGCUGAAGUGUGCAGAACUUGGCGGAACAAUCGCCGGGACACUGGCCGUGACUUGCAGUGAUGGAUUAAGAGCAGUUGACCGAGUAGGUGGUGACAAUUGUCCUCCCAGAUACGUUUUGCACUGUGAAAGUAAUAGUGAUAGUAGUGGAAGAAUAGUGAACCGGAUCGAAUAGCGGUGAGGCUCAUCCCGGGGAUAUACCGAACUCCGUACCAUGGGCACUGUGGUUUGCCUUCCGGCUGGACCGGAUUUGAUAUCUCAGUGUAACCGUUGUGCUGCCUGCCUUCCGAAAGCAUUUGGUAAACGAGGAGUCGCUACGCACUGUCCAACGGUGCCAUCAAGUGAUAGUGUCUAUAGGCUUGCCGUAAGUCCUUACUCGAUACCUGCGUGUGUCUGUGUGUGUGCCUUGUAUGUGUGUAAUCUUCGAUGUGCGCAAUCCUUGCGAUCUGUGUGUCUGUGUGGCAUUCUCUCUAUCCUGCUCUCUAUCCCUCUCUCUUUAUCUAUCCGCUGCAAUAAUUUCUAUGUGUAUCUGUGUACAGCGGUGUGUACGUGCGUGUGCAUUUGAUGUAUUUCUUUCCAAAACAAAAACUGUCCCCUAUUGCAUCUUUGUGUGGCCCUCAUUCACAUUCACUGUCGUCCAUUCUUUUCUCACUUCUGCUCACUUUUCUUGUGAACAACUCUCGGACCAGAAACAGGAAAGGAUUUUUCCCAACCCAGCGUGACUGAUGCGGUUUAUUUACGCACGAAAACCCCAUUUCGGUUCGUUGUACAUUUUUGAAACUAGCAAAGCGAUAAAACAUGCAAAAAAAGAAGUUUUAUGUAACAGGGAAAAUCUUUUUUUCCUCGCAAAAGUACAUCUUCAAAAUCAUAUUCUCUUCCACUUUCAUGUUGGUC